CGGGUUGUAAAGCACUUUCAGUCAGGAGGAAAGGUUAGUAGUUAAUACCUGCUAGCUGUGACGUUACUGACAGAAGAAGCACCGGCUAACUCCGUGCCAGCAGCCGCGGUAAUACGGAGGGUGCGAGCGUUAAUCGGAAUUACUGGGCGUAAAGCGUACGCAGGCGGUUUGUUAAGCGAGAUGUGAAAGCCCCGGGCUCAACUUGGGAACUGCAUUUCGAACUGGCAAACUAGAGUGUGAUAGAGGGUGGUAGAAUUUCAGGUGUAGCGGUGAAAUGCGUAGAGAUCUGAAGGAAUACCGAUGGCGAAGGCAGCCACCUGGGUCAACACUGACGCUCAUGUACGAAAGCGUGGGGAGCAAACAGGAUUAGAUACCCUGGUAGUCCACGCCGUAAACGAUGUCUACUAGAAGCUCGGAACCUCGGUUCUGUUUUUCAAAGCUAACGCAUUAAGUAGACCGCCUGGGGAGUACGGCCGCAAGGUUAAAACUCAAAUGAAUUGACGGGGGCCCGCACAAGCGGUGGAGCAUGUGGUUUAAUUCGAUGCAACGCGAAGAACCUUACCUACACUUGACAUACAGAGAACUUACCAGAGAUGGUUUGGUGCCUUCGGGAACUCUGAUACAGGUGCUGCAUGGCUG
rnacentral:rRNA from 1 species